rnacentral:rRNA from 1 species
UACGUAGGGAGCAAGCGUUGUCCGGAAUUACUGGGUGUAAAGGGAGCGUAGGCGGGAUGGCAAGUUGGGUGUUAAAUCUACCGGCUCAACUGGUAGUCGCACUCAAAACUGCUAUUCUUGAGUGAAGUAGAGGCAGGCGGAAUCCCCAGUGUAGCGGUGAAAUGCGUAGAUAUUAGGAGGAACACCAGUGGCGAAGGCGGCCUGCUGGGCGUUUACUGACACUGAGGCUCGAAAGUGUGGGGAGCAAACAGG